rnacentral:rRNA from 1 species
GACGAACGCUGGCGGCGUGCUUAACACAUGCAAGUCGAACGGAAAGGCCCUGCUUUUGUGGGGUGCUCGAGUGGCGAACGGGUGAGUAACACGUGAGUAACCUGCCCUUGACUUUGGGAUAACUUCAGGAAACUGGGGCUAAUACCGGAUAGGAGCUCCUGCUGCAUGGUGGGGGUUGGAAAGUUUCGGCGGUUGGGGAUGGACUCGCGGCUUAUCAGCUUGUUGGUGGGGUAGUGGCUUACCAAGGCUUUGACGGGUAGCCGGCCUGAGAGGGUGACCGGCCACAUUGGGACUGAGAUACGGCCCAGACUCCUACGGGAGGCAGCAGUGGGGAAUAUUGCACAAUGGGCGGAAGCCUGAUGCAGCAGCGCCGCGUGCGGGAUGAAGGCCUUCGGGUUGUAAACCGCUUUCGCCUGUGACGAAGCGUGAGUGACGGUAAUGGGUAAAGAAGCACCGGCUAACUACGUG